rnacentral:rRNA from 1 species
AACGAACGCUGGCGGCGCGCCUAAUACAUGCAAGUCGAGCGAGAAGACGUAGCAAUACGUUUGUAAAGCGGCGAACGGGUGAGGAAUACAUGGGUAACCUACCCUCGAGUGGGGAAUAACUAGCCGAAAGGUUAGCUAAUACCGCGUACGCUCCUUGGACUUCGGUUCAGGGAGGAAAGCGAUACCGUGGGUAUCGCGCUCUUGGAUGGGCUCAUGUCCUAUCAGCUUGUUGGUGAGGUAACGGCUCACCAAGGCUUCGACGGGUAGCUGGUCUGAGAGGACGAUCAGCCACACUGGCACUGCGACACGGGCCAGACUCCUACGGGAGCAGCAGUAAGGAAUAUUGCGCAAUGGGCGAAAGCCUGACCCAGCAACGCCGCGUGAAGGAUGAAAUCCCUCGGGAUGUAAACUUCGCAAGAAUAGAAGAAUUAGUAGGGCUAAUACCCUCUAUGAUGACGGUACUA